ensembl:snoRNA
UGCUUAUGAUGAAUAAAAUGCAUAAGAGUAGUGGACAGGAGUGAUAUCUGAGAACUUUUUUUUAUUUAUUUUUUUUUUCCCUGAGGCA